AGAAGUACCAGGCAACCCCUAAGAUCAAUCUUUGCUGAAAUAACAAUUUAAAAUGAAUAAUUACCAGAUGGGCAUGUGACAAUGACUUGACAUAUAGGCUCUGAGGGUAAGCUGUCUUUAGUCUCAAGUCUACUGUGAAAAUAGUGGACGCCAGUUUCUUUAACCAGGCUGUAUGUAGUAGAGAUGUUAGUCGUGGUUAAAUUUGACAGACACGUUCCAUUUUUCCAAGUCCACUGAAUGUUAGGCUCUUUGUAGCUGUCAAGCUUUACAACACAUUGGUAAAUGUUUCCACCAUUUGGGUGAGUCUCCCUGUGCUGAAAAAUGUGUGUCCCUGGUGAGAGAUGAUUUUUGUUAAAAUAAUGAAAUUUCAUGAGUAUUAAAAGAUUGUUGGUAUCCACGAUGGAUGACUUACCCAAAACCACAAGAUUCACAAAAAAAAAUCUGUAUUGUGGAGAAUAAAAACGACAACUGUAUUUUCCCUGGUCUUCUUUUGUGAUGUUUUUCAAGAGAACAGAACAAUUACUGCUGUCGUUAUGAAAAAAUGUUUCAUAUCGGUGGGACGGGUUUCCUUUAAAAUCUAAGGUCCCAUCAUUAUAUCUGAAGAUCAAUUUUCCCUUCACCCCUCUCUCCUCAUCAUCUUCCACUUGCCACUUGAAGUCCUUAUUCAAAUCUCUAUUAGAGCAAUUGCAUGGCAGGAGCACAUCGUCUUUCUCAAAGCCUUUGACAGCGACAGUGAUGCCUUCACCUGCAACAGAAAAGAUGACCAAUCAUAAGUCCAGUUAUCAGAAUCAUAAUGUUGGUUUUCCUGCUGCAUUAAAUUAUCAAAAGUAAACUUGACAAACUAGGAAAACACAG
ensembl:lncRNA